rnacentral:lncRNA from 1 species
GUCAGGGAGUUACCCACAGUGCUGCAAAGCAGGGUUUGCUGGGAUGCAACUGGAGAGCUGUGCAGAAAUGAAAAGCCCCUGCUGUCCUUUCAGAGAAUGCAGGUAGACAUGCACCACUCUGCCUGGUCCCUUGGGUUACAAUGUCUAUUAUCCUGUUUCUAUGACCUUUUGUAUGAUAACGUCUUAGAAAUGAAAGAUGCAUGAGUAGCUCUCAAAAAUUAAAGAAAAGAUGUGGAAAUGCUCUCUGUAACCCCAGACAGUAACAAAUGAACAAAAGUCAAUCUCCUUCCUUACAGAUGUCUGAGCACAAGGAAAACAAGCAAGCUGACCAAGGCUAGCAUAUAAGAAUGAACAUGGUGUGUCAUAUACGUAUAAUUCAAGACCCUCUACUUAAACCACUGAUUAGUCUUUCCACUCACUGGAUAUCAACGGCGACAAGGAGCUCCACAGAACAGGCACUUACCUACUUCAGAGACCGCCAUAGCUUCUCUCAACAUGCCUCUUAGCAAGCCCACCUCCUGACAUCAGUACAUUCUUC